UCGACGAUCUCUCUUCCAGGUGACAAUGCUAUGUUUAUCCUCUGCUUUUGUAGUAACUCUCUUUCGUCCAGGUCUUUUUCUAUCAUCAUAACUUCCAGGUUCCUCUCGUCUCUUCAGAGUGUAGUGGACUCCUUUGUUAAACACCUUUAGGCGUUUUGCAAUUUCUCUUUCUAUGUAUCCUUCUUUCCUCACUGUACAAAUCUGUACUUUU